GGAGAGAUGGCUGAGUGGUUUAUAGCCCCGGUCUUGAAAACCGGUAUAGUUUACAGAACUAUCGAGGGUUCAAAUCCCUCUCUCUCCU
rnacentral:tRNA from 2 species